rnacentral:rRNA from 1 species
UACGUAGGGUGCAAGCGUUAAUCGGAAUUACUGGGCGUAAAGCGUGCGCAGGCGGCUUUGCAAGACAGAUGUGAAAUCCCCGGGCUUAACCUGGGAACUGCAUUUGUGACUGCAAGGCUAGAGUACGGUAGAGGGGGAUGGAAUUCCGCGUGUAGCAGUGAAAUGCGUAGAUAUGCGGAGGAACACCGAUGGCGAAGGCAAUCCCCUGGGCUAACACUGACGCUCAGGCACGAAAGCGUGGGGAGCAAACAGG